UUAGUAGUAGUAGUAGUAGUGUUAAGCCAAGACCAAGUAUAAUAACUGUUUGUGGUUUUGUUUGGGUAGGUUAGGUUUAGGGUAUCUUCUAACACAUGACAGCCAGCACGUUAUGGCAUAAAUUGACACAGAAUGACCUCAAUGUGUUGCAUAGAAAGUCUCAUUAGCAAGGAAGCAUAGAUGAAUUUUCUGAGUCAAGACCUAUAGUGUUUGCUUUGGGCUUUGAUAGGUUAAGUUAGGUCAAGUAUAGGUCAUAUUCAAACACAGGACAGCUGGUAAAUUGUGGCAUAAAUCAACACAGAAUGACCUCACUGUGUUGUAUAGAAAGUCUCAUUAGCAAGGAAGCAUAGAUGAAUUUUCUGAGUCAAGACCUGUAGUAACUGUUUAGGGUUUUGUUAGGUUAGUUAAGGGGCGCAUAGUCUCAGAAAGCAUAUGAAGUUGCAUAUUUUUGGCUGUACAUGUUACACAAUAAAGUAGACUAUAAUCUAACAUCUCUGGCAAAGUUUGAGCCUGAUUGAUGAAUAACUUUUUUUUUUGGUGGGGGGGGGGGGGGAAUUUUUGACCGAAUUUGAGUUCUAAACAACUUUUUUAUAUAUGGGUUUUCAGCUUUUUUGUUCAUUGGACAAUGUAAAGUAACCUCAGUGCUAACAUUUGGACAAUAUGUGUUGGCAAUGUUUUGUUUCCAUAUAUAUAAUAUUUUUUUAUUACGUAACCAAACACAUUUCUCUGUUUCAGUGUAAAAUAUAUGAAAAAAAUAUUCUAUGGCGCUUAGAAGAGUUUUGUCUUGAUGGAAAUAUAGUCUUACCAUUACCCUAUUGAAUGAACUCAUCCAAUUGGAAAUGUCUUUUAUAGGCUAUCAGAAUUUUAACCAAAAAUGCCAAUAACUUACAUUUUGAGAAAUCAUCGUUUUUACAUUUCGUUACCAUAAUAUGUUUGAUAUGCUAUUUCUGCAAUGUAUUUUUUAUUCUACAGAUAUUUCGGUAGUACCUGGUCCCCUCCUUUUCAAAAGAUAUUAUACACUCGAUGGUGUGGGUAUCAUGGGGCACCACCACACUCAUUGGAGAUAGGUUUUUACUCAGAAGCCUCCAGGCUUAUAAUUUUUUUUCUACUGGCUUGUUUUCUUGUCUUUUUCUUCUUCCUCUUCUCGUUCUUGGUUCUGCUUGUCCUCUUUUCCUUCCGCUCAAAAGAAUCUAUGAAGUUCGAGGACCUCUUGAACCCUAGCGAGGUCAGGAGGUUGGCUUCACUGUGCCCAAAGUUAUGCUCCAGGAUUGUGACCUGGGGCACAAAGACAGUCCUAUGUAGGCCACAGAAUUUGUCUUUUGAAGCCUUCCUCCAGACCAUUCCGUGUAGGCUCUCAUUUCUGUUCUGUGUCCUCCCCUUCAGGCACUUCUCCAGCAGCUCUGGUCUUGUGAUGUCACGGUACACUGUCCUGAUGAGGCUGAGGCUGUCGUAUGAUAUGUGGGACAAGUAAAUCCUCUUGUCAGUGUGUGGUGGUGAUCUCUCCCCUUUUGCCAGGCUUCUCUGCACACAGCACCAUAAGGAUUGACUCUUUGGGCACAGCCGAUGUUAUUCAUUUUUGGUGGCAGUGUGGUGAUAAUAGCUGGCCAUUAUCGCUGACCUCAUGCUACCAACAGUCUCAUGCUUGUCUCUGGCAGCCUUUGUGUAGUAUGAGGAGAGCUUGUCAAUAACUUCGUCAGUCAGCUGCUUUGCAGCCACAUAUAUCGAAAAACUGACUAAAAAUCAUAUAAAUAACGUAAUAAACACAGAACACCUUUGUUCUAGAGCGCGGCCGCGUGCCACUCCAGGCCUGAGAUAGUGUCAGAUAAUGACUAAUUUCCAUUGGAAACAGGCAUCGUACCGCUAAGAUAUUUUAAAACGGUUCCAUGAACAUAGACCAAAGUAAAAUUGCGAAAAACAGAAAAUCAAAUUUAAGGGGGACAUUUCCUAUUCUUGGCUUAAAUGCGCCCUUUAAGUUUAGGGUAUCUUCAAACACAUGACAGCCAGCACCUUAUAGCAUAAAUCAACACAGAAUGACCUCGCUUUGUUGUAUAAAAUGUCUCUUUAGUAAGGAAGCAUGUAUGAAUUUUCUGAGUCAAGACCUGCAGUAACUGUUUAGGGUUUUGUAAGGUCAGUUAAGUUUUGGGUAUCUUGAAGCACAUAACAGCCAGCACCUUAGGGUAUAAAUCAACACAGAAUGACCUCACUUUGUUGUAUAAAAUGUCUUGUUAGUAAGGAAGCAUAUAUGAAUUUUCUGAGUCAAGACCUGUAGUAACUGUUUAGGGUUUUGUUAGGUUAGUUAAGUUUAGGGUAUCUUGAAACACAUGACAGCCAGCACCUUAGGGUAUAAAUCAACACAGAAUGACCUCACUUUGUUGUAUAAAAUGUCUUGUUAGUAAGGAAGCAUGUAUGAAUUUUCUGAGUCAAGACCUGUAGUGACUGUUUAGGGUUUUGUUAGGUUAGUUAAGUUUAGGGUAUCUUGAAGCAUAUAAAUCAACACAGAAUGACCUCAUUGUGUUGUAUAGAAAAUCUCAUUAGCAAGGAAGCAUGUAUGAAUUUUCUGAGUCAAGACCUGUAGUAACUGUUUAGGGUUUUGUUAGGCAAGUUAAGUUUAGGGUAUCUUCUAACACAUGACAGCCAGCACCUUAGGGUAUAAAUCAACACAGAAUGACCUCACUUUGUUGUAUAAAAUGUCUUGUUAGUAAGGAAGCAUGUAUGAAUUUUCUGAGUCAAGACCUGUAGUAACUGUUUAGGGUUUUGUUAGGUUAGAUAAGUUUAGGGUAUCUUGAAGUGUAUAAAUCAACACAGAAUGACCUCACUUUGUUCUAUAAAAUGUCUUGUUAGUAAGGAAGCAUGUAUGAAUUUUCUGAGUCAAGACUUAUAGUAACUGUUUAGGGUUUUGUUAGGUUAGAUCAGGUUAAGUUUAGGGUGUCUUCAAACACAAGACAGCCAGAAAUCUAUAACACACAUCAACACAGAAUGACCUCACUUUGUUGUAUAGGAAGUCUCAUUAGCAAGGAAGCAUGUAUGAGUUUUCUGAGUCAAGAUCUGUAGUGACUGUUUACGGUUUUGUUAGGUUUUGUUAGGGUAUCUUGAAACACUUGACAGCCAGCACCUUAGGGUAUAAAUCAACACAGAAUGACCUCACUUUGUUGUAUUAACUGUCUUGUUAGUAAGGAAGCAUGUAUGAAUUUUCUGAGUCAAGACCUGUAGUGACUUUAGGGUUUUGUUAGGUUAGUUAAGUUAAGGGUAUCUUGAAGCAUAUAAAUCAACACAGAAUGACCUCACUGUGUUGUAUAGAAAAUCUCAUUAGCAAGGAAGCAUGUAUGAAUUUUCUGAGUCAAGACUUAUAGUAACUGUUUAGGGUUUUGUUAGGUUAGGUUAGGUUAAGUUUAGGGUAUCUUCAAACACAUGACAGCCAGCACAUUAUGGUAUAAAUCAACACAGAAUGACCUCACUUUGUUGUAUAAAAUGUCUCAUUAGAAAGGAAGCAUGUAUGAAUUUUCUGAGUCAAGACCUGUAGUAACUGUUUAGGGUUUUGUUAGGUUAGUUAAGUUUGGGGUAGGCGGUGGCUGAACGGAUAGCAAGACGGCCCCGCGUUCAGGAGGACGCGAGUUCAAUCCCCGACCGGUGCCACCAAGCUGUGAUUUUUCAGCCGCUGCCGAGUGGCUUAAAACUUCCCACAUGCUGUCCAUAAGACCACCUAUCAACCUGGACUCUAGAUUCUAGGAUUAAAGAUGAGCUCCAGGAGGGCAGCAUGAGCCAAUGCAAGAUGGCGCCACUAUAAACACUCGCCUGCGCCAGAACGGGCUGGGCCGACCAUCAGGACCCACCGGGAAGAAGCCUUGGACCGACCAUCAGGAUCCACCGGGAAGAAGCCUACCGGCGCAAUAGGCCACGACGUAAAAAAAUAAAAAAUAAAAAUGUUUAGGGUUUUGUUAGGCAAGUUAAGUUUAGGGUAUCUUCUAACACAUGACAGCCAGCACCUUAGGGUAUAAAUCAACACAGAAUGACCUCACUUUGUUCUAUAAAAUGUCUUGUUAGUAAGGAAGCAUGUAUGAAUUUUCUGAGUCAAGACUUAUAGUAACUGUUUAGGGUUUUGUUAGGUUAGAUCAGGUUAAGUUUAGGGUGUCUUCAAACACAAGACAGCCAGAAAUCUAUAACACACAUCAACACAGAAUGACCUCACUUUGUUGUAUAGGAAGUCUCAUUAGCAAGGAAGCAUGUAUGAGUUUUCUGAGUCAAGACCUGUAGUGACUGUUUAGGGUAUCUUGAAACACUUAAAAGCCAGCACCUUAGGGUAUAAAUCAACACAGAAUGACCUCACUUUGUUGUAUAAAAUGUCUCGUUAGUAAGGAAGCAUAGAUGAAUUUUCUGAGUCAAGACCUGUAGUGACUGUUUAGGGUUUUGUUAGGUUAGUUAAGUUUAGGGUAUCUUGAAACACUUGACAGCCAGCACCUUAGGGUAUAAAUCAACACAGAAUGACCUCACUGUGUUGCGUAGGAAGUCUCAUUAGCAAGGAAGCAUAGAUGAAUUUUCUGAGUCAAGACCUGUAGUAACUGUUUAAGGUUUUGUUAGGUUAGGUUAGUUAAGUUUAGGGUAUCUUGAAGCACAUGACAGCCAGCACCUUAGGGUAUAAAUCAACACAGAAUGACCUCACUGUGUUGCAUAGAAAAUCUCAUUAGCAAGGUAGCAUAGAUGAAUUUUCUGAGUCAAAUUCUGUAGUAACUGUUUAUGGUUUUGUUAGGUUAGGUUAGUUAAAUUUAGGGAAUCUUGAAACACAUGACAGCCAGCUGUUCAAGUGAUCUCAUACAAGCAAGCAUAUCAACCUGGUAGCAGCGACGGGCCAAAUUUGUGCCAUGACAUAAACCCCCCAAAAUAGAUGAUGCAUAAACUGAACACAAAUGCUUUGAUAAUAUUAUGAAAUGGUUUGUGUGAGUGAUGAUUUUUUCCCAUUUUUCUCGCUUGGAGGGACCAAUAAGAAACAUGAUCCCCGCUGCUGCCACCACCGGGUUAACAUGUGCCGCCGACGAUCUGUUCACACGUCACUUGCCGCAGCGUUGAGGCGGGAUGCAGCGUGCUCUGAGGCGACCCCGGGCAGGAGGCAACAUGUGACCUCGGGCACCAAACCUUUGACCUCUAUUCAGGAGCAAUCUCACAACUGAUGGAAGCUGGGACGGAAAGUUGCCGACAUAUGGGCAAUGGCUGACUGGCUGGUGCUGUCUGGUCACUCAGCUCAGCAAGGGACUGGAAGCUCGAACUCUCUUUCUCUCACACACAAAAAAGUAGCGUAAAAGUGUAUAAGGUCCAUUGAAAAGGAGAGAGUGUUCCAUCUCAUCCUCUCUCUCCAACAUUCAGGCGGCAUCUUUAGAAGGGAAGGGAAGAGAAGGGAAGAAUAAAAUAGCUCACUGGUGGACAGAGGAGAGAGAGAGGAGGAAGAAGAAGAAGUAGGUUUAAAUAUAUCCAUUGUAAUAUAUAUUUCCAAACUUUAUUAGUCUUCUCUUUUAUAGAAAUACAGAAAGAGAGAGAUAGUUAGUUAGUUCCAUCUCCUCAUCUCUCUCUCUCUCUCUCUCUCCUUCCUUGGCUCAAUCAAUCUCCCUCCAUCUUCUCCCCAACAGGACUCAGCUCAGCUGAUCUCAUCUCUUCUCAGCAUCCAAGCAGCAUCUUGAAGGCCUGUCUGGUUUUCUCUCUCUCUCUAUCUCUCUCUCUCUCUCUCUCUCUCUCUCUCUCUCUCUCUCUCUCUCUCUCAGGGCCCACAGGGUGUCCCCCCACAGACACAUGCCCCCCCAGACACAUAAGGGAGCUCUCUCUCUCUGCAAGAAGUGUCAGUUUGCUCAAUAAAUAUACAAGCAAUUUCUGAUGUUUUUUUCGUCCAUUCUGCAAAGUUUUCAAAGACACAGACCUUAAUAAAAGUGGAGAUAACAGGGAAACCAAGAGGAGGAGGAAGAAGAGAAAGACAGGAGGAGGAAGAGGAAAGAUCAAGCUAUUUUUUGGCAUAGGAGGAAGAGAGGAAGAAAAAAUGAGAAAAAUGGACUUGAACUUGGAGGAGGAAAUGGACGAAACCACCAAAAUUACGCCGGAGAAAUACACAGACCUUGAUAAAAGUGGAGAUAACAGGGAAACAAAGAGGAAGAGGAAAGAUUAAGCUAUUUUUUGGCAUUGAAAGAAAGGAGGAAAAGAGGAAGAAAAAAUGAGAAAAAUGGACUUGAACUUGGGAGGAGGAAAUGAACGAAACCUCCAAAAUUACACCGGAGAAAUACACAGACCUUGUUAAAAGUGGAGAUAACAGGGAAACGAAAAGGAGGAGGAGGAAGAGGAAAGAUUAAGCUAUUUUUUGGUAUAGGAGGAAAGGAGGGAAAAACGGAGGAAACAUGGAGAAUCAGUGAGGGGAAGUACCUGUUCUUGAGGCAGCCUCUGACCUGACAUAACCUUGGGCCUGAGCAUACACUGGGGGUGGGUUGCUUCACUCACCCACCAUCUCCAUGCAUCCUCCCCCAAACCAUGAGGUGCGUCGGUGUCCCCUUGGUGGUCUCCUGGACUCACUGGAGGGCUGAGUCUGGUCUCAUCUCAGCUCCAUCC